rnacentral:rRNA from 1 species
GUUGUAUGGUUAAGUGACUAAGCGUACACGGUGGAUGCCUGGGCAGUCAGAGGCGAUGAAGGACGUACUAACUUGCGAUAAGCGCAGAUAAGGCAGUAAGAGCCGUUUGAGUCUGCGAUUUCCGAAUGGGGAAACCCAACUGCAUAAGCAGUUACUGUUAACUGAAUACAUAGGUUAACAGAGCAAACCGGGGGAACUGAAACAUCUAAGUACCCCGAGGAGAAGAAAUCAACCGAGAUUCCGGUAGUAGCGGCGAGCGAACCUGGAUUAGCCCUUAAGCACUCGGUGAAGUAGGUGAACAAGCUGGAAAGCUUGGCGAUACAGGGUGAUAGCCCCGUAACCGACGCUUCAUCGAGCGUGAAAUCGAGUAGGGCGGGACACGUGAUAUCCUGUCUGAAUAUGGGGGGACCAUCCUCCAAGGCUAAAUACUCCUGACUGACCGAUAGUGAACCAGUACCGUGAGGGAAAGGCGAAAAGAACCCCUGUGAGGGGAGUGAAAUAGAACCUGAAACCGUGUACGUACAAGCAGUAGGAGCACCUUCGUGGUGUGACUGCGUACCUUUUGUAUAAUGGGUCAGCGACUUAUAUUCAGUGGCAAGGUUAACCGUAUAGGGGAGCCGUAGCGAAAGCGAGUCUUAACUGGGCGCUCAGUCUCUGGAUAUAGACCCGAAACCGGGUGAUCUAGCCAUGGGCAGGUUGAAGGUUGAGUAACAUCAACUGGAGGACCGAACCGACUAAUGUUGAAAAAUUAGCGGAUGACUUGUGGCUAGGGGUGAAAGGCCAAUCAAACUCGGAGAUAGCUGGUUCUCCCCGAAAGCUAUUUAGGUAGCGCCUCGGACGAAUACUACUGGGGGUAGAGCACUGUUAAGGCUAGGGGGUCAUCCCGACUUACCAACCCUUUGCAAACUCCGAAUACCAGUAAGUACUAUCCGGGAGACACACGGCGGGUGCUAACGUCCGUCGUGGAGAGGGAAACAACCCAGACCGCCAGCUAAGGUCCCAAAGUAUUGCUAAGUGGGAAACGAUGUGGGAAGGCUCAGACAGCUAGGAUGUUGGCUUAGAAGCAGCCAUCAUUUAAAGAAAGCGUAAUAGCUCACUAGUCGAGUCGGCCUGCGCGGAAGAUGUAACGGGGCUAAGCAAUACACCGAAGCUGCGGCAAUGUCUUUUAGACAUUGGGUAGGGGAGCGUUCUGUAAGCCGUUGAAGGUGAAUCGUAAGGUUUGCUGGAGGUAUCAGAAGUGCGAAUGCUGACAUGAGUAACGACAAAGGGGGUGAAAAACCUCCUCGCCGGAAGACCAAGGGUUCCUGUCCAACGUUAAUCGGGGCAGGGUGAGUCGACCCCUAAGGUGAGGCCGAAAGGCGUAAUCGAUGGGAAACGGGUUAAUAUUCCCGUACUUCUGACUAUUGCGAUGGGGGGACGGAGAAGGCUAGGUGGGCCAGGCGACGGUUGUCCUGGUUCAAGUGCGUAGGCUUGAGAGUUAGGUAAAUCCGGCUCUCUCUAAGGCUGAGACACGACGUCGAGCUACUACGGUAGUGAAGUCAUUGAUGCCAUGCUUCCAGGAAAAGCCUCUAAGCUUCAGAUAGUCAGGAAUCGUACCCCAAACCGACACAGGUGGUCGGGUAGAGAAUACCAAGGCGCUUGAGAGAACUCGGGUGAAGGAACUAGGCAAAAUGGUACCGUAACUUCGGGAGAAGGUACGCUCUUGAUGGUGAAGUCCCUCGCGGAUGGAGCUGACGAGAGUCGCAGAUACCAGGUGGCUGCAACUGUUUAUUAAAAACACAGCACUGUGCAAAAUCGCAAGAUGACGUAUACGGUGUGACGCCUGCCCGGUGCCGGAAGGUUAAUUGAU